rnacentral:lncRNA from 1 species
GAAGCUGCACCCUUGGAGGAGGGAACAUCUGACGAAGUUCAAUGCUUGGGGAAAACAAUAUCUGGAAAGAUUGAACAGUCAGCAGGAGAAACACCUAGGAAAAUUACAAGACCUGUGAAAAAAAAACAGCUACAAAAGCAAGUACAAAUAGAUUCAACUAGCCUAUCAAAAAUCUUGGAUGCAGUUCUUUCUUGUGAAAGAGCAAGGGAACUUAAAAAAUAUCCCUGUGAAAAAAAAUCCCUGUGAACAACUUACAGCAAAAAUGAAACAAAUGAAAAAUAAGCUUCGUGUACUACAAAAUGAACUAUCAGAACCAAAAGAAAUAAAAUCAGAAUAAGAGAAGAAAUGCCAAUAUAUUAAAAGAAAAAAUA